UUAUGGAGUUGGCGUUCUGUACAGAGUUGUCAAUUCCUUUUCCAAUGGGCGUAGUUAAAUACCUUCUCACCAUUAUUUUGAUUUACGCUAAAUGGAUACGGUUUCAUUAGUUGUUUGCUAAAUCGAAAAGCCGAAUCCCCAAUAAUGAAUACUGGCACAUUUACGCCUGAAAUUUCUCUAGACAUUGCGCUUAGUAAAGGACAACUAUCCAUUUCUUUUUUAAGUGAUGACGUCUCAUACGACUUCCUACGUUUAUCAAGCACUUCAUUGCUUAAUACACCCCCAAUACUCUAUGUGCCUGAAAGGAACUGGAGAAUACCGGAAACCGAACCUGUUGGCCAAAUUAUUACUAGAAUACGUGCUGAAGAUCCAGAAAACGAUGACAUGGUUUUUGGCCUUGAACCACAUUUUCUAUCUAAUUUUAACAAUAAUAAUGAUAAGGAAAAUUUACCUUUUCGUAUAGAUUCAGUCAGAGGAAUAGUUUACUUGAACGAAAGUUUGAUUGGGAGAGGUGGCGAAAACUUUUUUCUAUAUAUCACUGUAACAGAUGGAGACUUAACUGCUAAAAAUGAAGUAUUUGUUAACAUCCUCGCUAAGGAGAACGAUACCUCGUCUAAUUUUCGCGCGCCGCCAUCAGUUACGAAUGUUGUACAAAAUAUUUCUCAAAUACUACCACCUUUUGACACCUUACCAGGAGUACAGUCAGUACGAAAUAAAUAUUCGAAAGAACGUCCAACCAAUCACAUACCUUUAAAUUUCGAUUCCAAUCAAGGUUUAUUUGAACUAAAUCAUAAGCAUAAAUUUCUACGCCCGCUUAAUAGCAAUAACAAUGAACAAACACGACCAACAGGUCGUUUGAAAUUGACGCCAAUAACUACUAUACAACAUGAAUACAAACACAAUCAAAACGACUCAAUUUUACAUUUAAAUAAAACUCAAUCUGCCAUCACUGUCAAUGAUGAUUCCAUAAAAAUAUUAAAAGAUAAGAUCUCAUACGAUGAAAGUUUGAGUACUAAUUAUUCGACAAAAACAAUCGUGCUUCCAAUUAUAUUUACUUCUUCAUGCAUAUUUUUGGUAGCUAUUGUCAUUUUUGGUUUUCUAUAUCGAAAACAUUUGUGCGCCAUUAGUAAAAAAUUAAAAAAAAAAUCUAAAGAGGAAAUGUUUAAGAAAUCUAAUCAAGACAAUCUAAGUAACAAUUUAGCUGACAAUGGCAGAAAUUCAAUGGUAAUGCAACAUUGGAAUGGCCCUACUGCCUACAACAAUCGCUACGUGCCAUGGGAGAGAGAUCCUCAACAGAAUGGAUUGGUAACAUCACAACUGUCGUCAAAUGCCACCAACGGAGCUAUACACGAUGACGAUACUAAUGUGACAAAUAACAUUAAUGAACUACAAAGUAUUACUGAUAAUGUUAUUGGUUUUUCGAUAAAUGCCUCCCAAAAUGCAGUUGAUAACUCAACCUUUAAUAUGAAUGGCAAAUGUUGUUGGGAGUUCCCGAGGCACCGACUUAAAUUCUUCAAUAUUUUGGGUGAAGGUGCAUUUGGUCAAGUUUGGCGUUGUGAAGCAAACGACAUUGAUGGUAUAGAAGGGGUUACAACUGUGGCUGUGAAAACUUUAAAGGAAAACGCUACUGAAAGCGAAAAGAAGGACCUUAUGACUGAAAUUGAGGUAAUGAAGUCACUUGAACCUCAUAUCAAUGUUGUCCGAUUACUUGCAUGUUGCACCGACAAGGACCCGCUAUUUGUGAUUAUUGAAUUUGUGAAUCGAGGUAAAUUACAAAGUUACCUUAGAAAUUCACGUGCUGAAAUGCACUAUGGGAAUACUCAUGGAAAAUCUAAAACUUUGACCUCGGGUGACUUAACUUCUUUUAUGUAUCAAGUAGCCAAAGGUAUGGAUUACUUAACUUCUCGAGGGAUAAUUCAUAGAGACUUGGCAGCAAGGAAUAUUCUGAUUACUGAUGAACACACUUGUAAAGUUGCAGAUUUUGGAUUUGCUCGAGACGUUGUGACAUCAAAAAUUUAUGAGAGAAAAAGUGAAGGGAAACUCCCAAUACGGUAAAUAAAAAAUAUAAUUAUAAUAAUUCAGGUAUUUGCAGGAAAUAUUAAUGGAGAAGAAUUGGAAAUGUCAAUACAUAACCAAAUAAUAAAAAUAACGAAAAGAAUGAAUGACUUGUGAGUGAGUGAUAACCUGAGAAAACACGAGUGAUAACUUGAGAAUAAUUUGAAGCUUGAUAACUAUAUCGCCUUUUUGAAUCGGAAAAUUGUCACAAAAACGAGUUUCUUCAUAUACGAUAUAAGAACUAUGAAACCGAACAUAACAGUGCGCAGGGCUAGGCCUCUGUUCAAUAUUUUGCUACGUUUCCUUUAACAGACGGAUAAACAGCAUUCGCAGCAUUAAAUAUGUAUAAUAUUAUACCAAUGUUACUUGCUUAUUUACAGAAAUUAAUAAUAAUAAUUAAGUUAGUUUUGUAUUACAGUGCUUAUUGCUGUACUUUUUAUACUCUCGCAACAUGUUGCUACAUACAUAUGUAAGUAUAAUAUUAUAGAUUGGUUCACCUAACAGUUUUUUGUAUCACCUAAGCUUA
rnacentral:misc_RNA from 1 species